GAGCACCUGUAGUACUUGGAGGGUCUAACAUGGUGCGCAAGUUGACCAUAUGGACAUCACAAGGCAGUUCCCCACCAACAGUCCAAGAUGAAUGCAUGGGACCCACCUAUGGAUGAUGGAAAAUGUUAGAGAAAAAACCACAAAAGGAAAACGAUUGCUUCUCACCUUGGACACUGGUAUCAAAGAGUAGACUGGAUAAAGAAGGGUGUUGGUUGCUGCAUGAGCCACAAGCGAUGGGAAAGCUGCAGGACCAUCAUGAGCUGGACCAGAUUCCUGCAGCAAUAUUGCUCUCAUUAACUUGCAACAAGUUAUAAUUCUAAAGGGUUUAGUAAACAUAAAAACUGCAAACCUUGGUGGAGAUCCUUGGCUCGACCAAAACACGGAAGUUAUUGGAAGUGUGGAGAUUGUCUAGGAUACCCUGGCCAAGAC